rnacentral:rRNA from 1 species
CACGUAGGGGACGAGCGUUGUCCGGAUUCAUUGGGCGUAAAGCGCGCGUAGGCGGCUCGGAAAGUCGGUCGUGAAAUGCCGGGGCUCAACCCCGGGACUGCGUCCGAUACUCCCGAGCUGGAGGCAGGUAGGGGAGAUCGGAAUUCCUGGUGUAGCGGUGAAAUGCGCAGAUAUCGGAAGGAACAUCAGUGGCGAAAGCGACUUCCUGGACCAGUACCGACGUUCAGGCACGAAAGCGUGGGGAGCAAACAGG